UACAGAGGGCUCAAGCGUUGUUCGGAUUCAUUGGGCGUAAAGGGUGCGUAGGUGGCGCCAUAAGUCAGGCGUGAAAUCUCGGGGCUUAACUCCGAAACUGCAUUUGAUACUGUGGUGCUUGAGGACUGGAGAGGAGACUGGAAUUCACGGUGUAGCAGUGAAAUGCGUAGAGAUCGGGAGGAAGACCAGUGGCGAAGGCGGGUCUCUGGACAGUUCCUGACACUGAGGCACGAAGGCCAGGGGAGCAAACGGG
rnacentral:rRNA from 1 species